UACGUAGGUGGCGAGCGUUGUCCGGAUUUACUGGGCGUAAAGGGAGCGUAGGCGGCCUUUUAAGUGAGAUGUGAAAUACCCGGGCUCAACUUGGGUGCUGCAUUUCAAACUGGAAGUCUAGAGUGCAGGAGAGGAGAAUGGAAUUCCUAGUGUAGCGGUGAAAUGCGUAGAGAUUAGGAAGAACACCAGUGGCGAAGGCGAUUCUCUGGACUGUAACUGACGCUGAGGCUCGAAAGCGUGGGGAGCAAACAGG
rnacentral:rRNA from 1 species